AUUGAACGCUGGCGGCAGGCCUAACACAUGCAAGUCGAGCGGUAGAGAGGUGCUUGCAUCUCUUGAGAGCGGCGGACGGGUGAGUAAUGCCUAGGAAUCUGCCUGGUGGUGGGGGAUAACGUUCGGAAACGGACGCUAAUACCGCAUACGUCCUACGGGAGAAAGCGGGGGAUCUUCGGACCUCGCGCCAUUAGAUGAGCCGAGGUCGGAUUAGCUAGUUGGUGAGGUAAUGGCUCACCAAGGCGACGAUCCGUAACUGGGCUGAGAGGAUGAUCAGUCACACUGGAACUGAGACACGGUCCAGACUCCUACGGGAGGCAGCAGUGGGGAAUAUUGGACAAUGGGCGAAAGCCUGAUCCAGCCAUGCCGCGUGUGUGAAGAAGGUCUUCGGAUUGUAAAGCACUUUAAGUUGGGAGGAAGGGUCGUAACCUAAUACGUUGCGGCUUUGACGUUACCGACAGAAUAAGCACCGGCUAACUUCGUGCCAGCAGCCGCCGUAAAAC
rnacentral:rRNA from 1 species